AUUUUUUUAAUUAUAUUAUUUAUUUGUUCAUUUCUAAUUUAUUUAUUUUUAAGUUACAUUUCCUCUAUCAGUUAUUUGAACUUACCGCAUUAUUCAACAUCUCUCAAACAAAAAAUGUGACAAAAUAACUAUGAGCUACAUAACUAUUCAACAUAUUUCAAACAUAGAUCAUAUUUUAUUAUAUCCAUCAUCCAAUUAAUGAGUUGAAAAGUAUAAUUAAAAAGUUGCAUUGAGAAACUAAUUUUAAAAUAUGAAGCGACACUAUUUAUGAAAAAAGGUCG
rnacentral:lncRNA from 1 species